AUGAAAAACUUGAGGAAAGUUUAUUCUGGGGGGAUGGCAUGCCCCUUAUAAAGCAAAAUUACAUCAUAUGCAUUGUCAGAGAUAACAUGGAAUAAUACAUCAAUAAUUGGUUAGGUGUUAAGUGGUUCAUUUAGUGCCCUUCCUACCGGGUGUGAUGUCACUGGUAUCUUGGAGGUCACCCCCAGAUUCCAGCGCCAUCUUGUUAAUGAGGGUGUUAGUCGAUGUCAAAGGGAAACUCCCUAGCGGCCAUUUUAGGUAAAUCACGUAUAAGGUUGAAUAAUGCUGAUUGUGGUUAUGCUGAG